rnacentral:snRNA from 1 species
AUGACAAGUGACAAUGAGGGGU